UGUACCUAUAGCGCAAUGGAUAGCGCGUUGGACUUUUAAUCCAAAGGUCAUGGGUUCGAAUCCCACCUAGGAUGA
rnacentral:tRNA from 1 species